GACGAACGCUGGCGGCGUGCUUAACACAUGCAAGUCGAGCGGUAAGGCCCUUUCGGGGGUACACGAGCGGCGAACGGGUGAGUAACACGUGGGUGACCUGCCCUCAGCUCUGGGAUAAGCCCGGGAAACUGGGUCUAAUACCGGAUAUGACUCCAUGACGCAUGUUGUGGGGUGGAAAGCCUUGUGCGGCUGAGGAUGGGCCCGCGGCCUAUCAGCUUGUUGGUGGGGUGAUGGCCACCAAGGCGACGACGGGUAGCCGGCCUGAGAGGGCGACCGGCCACACUGGGACUGAGAUACGGCCCAGACUCCUACGGGAGGCAGCAGUGGGGAAUCUUGCGCAAUGGGGGAAAGCCUGACGCAGCGACGCCGCGUGAGGGAUGACGGCCU
rnacentral:rRNA from 1 species